AAGUCGUAACAAGGUUUCCGUAGGUGAACCUGCGGAAGGAUCAUUAUUGAUUUUGAAACAAACUAAAACACAAAAACACAUGAAUGGUGUAACAGCUAUUCGUUUUUGUGUGAAAUACGUGCUGUAUAGUACGUAAUUUAGCACAUAGUUAUGUGCAACUGUUGAACGCAUUGUUUCUUUUAAAUAAAAGAAAUGGAAGCACUUGAUAGAAUUAUUUUGGGUACUUACUACUUAAGUAUAAACGACAAAUCAGUCGUGAUAUUCGCCCAAAAAAAUAUUAAAUCAUUGUGUUUAAAAACCCUCUGUCGUAUUUUACGCCUUAGCUGGCGUAAAUGCGCUUUAUGUUAACAAUAAAUUUGUAAAAAAAUUUAAUUCAACCCUAAGCGGGGGAUCACUUGGUUUGUGG
rnacentral:misc_RNA from 1 species